rnacentral:lncRNA from 1 species
CAGCUACUAGAUAGGCUGAGGCAGGAGAAUUGCCUCAGGUGAACCGGGAGGCAGAGAUUGCAGUGAGCUGAGAUAAUGCCACUGCAUUCCAGCCUGGGCUACAGAAUGAGACUCUGUAUCUCAAAAAAACAACAACAAAAAACAAAACAAAACAGUCUGUUCUGUGGAGGCCUUGGGCAGAUGCUGGGAGCUCUGAGCACGGACUGGUCCCUCUGUUGGGAGCCUCUUCCCUUCAUCCUGCCUGGUUAACUUGACUCAGCUUAAAGGCCAUUUCUUCUAAGAGCCUGUCCCUGACUCUCCAAUCCGGGAUGUGUCUGUUGUCUCAUAGAGUGCCCAAUUCCUACCACCACUUGUCAUUUCCAUUUGCAACAUUUCUUUCAUUGUUUGUUUUUCAGAGUCAGGGUCUCACUCUGUUGCCCAGGCUGGAGGGCAGUGGUGCAAUCACAGCUCGUUGCCAUCUCGACCUCCUGGGCUUAAGCGAUCCUCCCCACUCAGCCUCCCAAAUAGCUGGGACCACAGACGUGCGCUGCCUUUCCAGGGAUGGUGAUUGCUCACACCAAAGCCUUGGACCCCUCCCAGCCUGUGACCUUUGUGACCAACUCCACCUACGCAGCAGACAAGGGGGUGAGCCUGGGGGUCCCCACCCCAUUUCUCCCUGCCUUUGCCUGGGCUUGUCCUGAAGCCUGCUCAUGGGAACAGCUGGAAAGAGCCAUGUGCUGCCAGUCUGAGCUUUUUAUUUUGUUUUACUUAGAAAGAUAGAGACAGGGUCUUGCCAUGUUGCCCAGGCUGGUCUCGAACUCCUGGGCUCAAGUGAUCCUCCUGCCUCGGCCUUCCAGAGGGCUGGGGUUACAGGCAUGUGCCACCGCACUCAGCCGCAGCCAGUCUGUUUUCAAAGAUGGUCUUUGGGUUAAUUACAAUUCUCUCUCUGCUUACUCUCCAGGCAGUGUGGCUUUCUGAAUCCAAGGAGGCUGGGCAUAGGGAGAUGGGAUUUGUUUUGCUCAGUUUGGACUCAGCAUUUUUUGUACUCGAUUUAAUAGACUCAUAAAAUGUCAAAGGUUUAAGUGAGCUUAGAGUUCGUCUGGCCCAAACCUGGCUGAUCAGAAUCUCCAGGGGAAGUUUUUUUUGAAAUGCCAGAUCUCUGCAUUCUGAUAUCCUGAUUUAGUAACUCCAGGGUUGGAACCUGAGUUUUUUUUUUUUUUUUUUUUUUUUUUUGUGAAGGCAGGGUCUUACUCUGUUGCUCUGGCUGGAGUGCAGUGGUGUGAUCACAGCUCACUGCAGCCUUGAAUUCCUGGGCCUAAGCAACCCUCUUGCCUCAGUCUUCCAAGUAGCUGGGACUCCAGGUGUACACCACCGUGCCCAGCUAAUUUUAAAUGUUUUUGUAGAGAUUGGAUCUCACUAUGUUGCCCAGGCCAGUCUCAAACUCUUGAGCUCAAGUGAUCCUCCUGCCUUAGCCUCCUAAAGUGCUGGGAUUACAGGCAUGAGCCACUGUGCCUGGCUGAUACUAGCAUUCUUUUUUUUUUUUUUUUUUAAAGAUAGAGUCUUGCUCUGUUGCCCAGGCUGGAGUGCAGUGGCACAGUCUCAGCUCACUGCAACCUCCGCCUCCCAGGUUCAAGCAAUUCCCAGGUUCAAGCAAUUGGGGGCAUAGGUGGUGACAUCCCACUUUUGUUUGACUCUUGCUCAGAACCUUUUGGCCCAGCUCAAAUCUACCAUCUACCUCUUAAUUCUGACCCUUCCCAUGGGCUGCCACAUCCUAUUAGAAAUAUCCUAUCCCACCUGGCGCGGUGGCUCACGCCUGUAAUCCCAGCACUUUGGGAGGCUGAGGCAGGUGGAUCUCCUGAGGUCAGGAGUUCGAGACCAGCCUGACCAACAUGGAGAAAGCCUGUCUGUACUAAAAAUACAAAAUUAGCUGGACAUGGUGGCGCAUGCCUGUAAUCCCAGCUACUUGGGAGGCUGAGGCGGGAGAAUUGCUUGAACCUGGUAAGUGGAGGUUGCGGUGAGCUGGGAUCACGCCAUUGCACUCCAGCCCGGGCAACAAGAGAGAAACUCUGUCAAAAAAAAAGAAAAAAAAGAAAAAAACAAAAGACAGAAAGAAAGGGAAAAAAGAAAUAUCACAUCCUGUUUCUCUCCUAAAUUGGGAAAACUUACAAGGAACUACAGUAAAGAUCUAUGAGAAUAGUGCAAAAAGGGGAAAACCAAAGAGUUCCUAAAAAUUCCUAUUCUCUUAAAAGUAGCAAACCAAAUUGCUGUUACCCUCUACAUGGUCCAUUUCCCACAUGGUUUUGGAAGUACAAAUUGGGUAAACACCAAUUUUUAGCUAUUACUAUUUCUGCUAUUUUAAAAAUAAUCUUGGAAGGGUAGUUUUUUGAAAGGAGAGAGAGGCAUGACAUGGCAGGAAAUUAGAAAGAUUUUAGUUUAAAGCAAAAUUUGUGACUGUUGAUUAAAGUGAUAGAAAAUAUGGAAUAUCAUGCUGCCUCAGGUUAUAUGAGGGAGGGAUAGGAGGAUUAUUUUUUGGCAUUCCUGCCAAUAAUUCAUGGAGUUAACUGACCAGUCACCUAUUAUAUCCAUAAUUAUGAUGAGCUGCUGUGAAAAUGUCACAGGGUGAACCACAGCUUGCUUUGAUGUUGUCUCCAUGCCCAUAAAAAUUGUCUCUGUCACUUCCAAUCUUUCUAAACAGGUUCCUGCAAUGUCUUUAGGGUUGGUAUAAUGUUAGCUUCAAAAUACAUAUUAUAUUUAAAGAUGCAUUCAGCACAUUUUCCUCUACAGGAGUAAGCUUAAAACAAAUUAUUGUGUAUCAUAAUACAGCUUUGGCGUUUACAGUAAUUCUCAGGCAAAGCUCAGGGUAUAAGUAUGUACUUUGUAAAGUAAUAGGACUUAAAUUCAUUAAGUAAAUCUAUUGCUACCCUUGGUGCUUCUUUCUUAUCUUCAUUGAAGUUAUUUCUUUUGUUUCACAUGAAAUAGAGAAAAACUCUAAAACUUGAGAAAUUUUAAAGUAACAUUGUAAUAUUUAUAUUUUUAAUUAUAAACAUUGGUUUUCAAUUUGAGCUUUAAUCUUGAAUCUUAUAAUACAUGACCAUAACAAAUUUGCGUGAGUUUCAAUGUUUCUGCUUUCCUACUAAUAUAACAGUGUUUGUAUUUUACUUCACAUGCAGGGUUCUGUUAAGUUUUAUGUUAGAUGCUAAUGUUAGUGGACUUUAGUUAAAACAUUAGAGAAGUCAGAAUUAAUGAAAUAACUAUCCUAUGGAAACAAUACCAUCUUCUUUUCCAGAUAAGGUUCAG